UACAGAGGUCCCAAGCGUUGUUCGGAUUCACUGGGCGUAAAGGGUGCGUAGGUGGUGAGGUAAGUCGGAUGUGAAAGCUCCGAGCUCAACUCGGAAAUGGCAUUGGAAACUACCUUGCUAGAGGGUUUGAGGGGGGACUGGAAUACUUGGUGUAGCAGUGAAAUGCGUAGAUAUCGAGAGGAACACCUGCGGCGAAGGCGGGUUGCUGGGCUGACACUGACGCUGAGGCGCGAAAGCUAGGGGAGCGAACGGG
rnacentral:rRNA from 1 species